ensembl:lncRNA
UGCUGAGCUGAGACAGACACUAUUGGACCAGACACUACCAUGUCUCCCUGCUGAGCUGAGACAGACACUAUUGGACCAGACACUACCAUGUCUCCCUGCUGAGCUGAGACAGACACUAUUGGACCAGACACUACCAUGUCCCCCUGCUGAGCUGAGACAGACACUAUUGGACCAGACACUACCAUGUCUCCCUGCUGAGCUGAGACAGACACUAUUGGACCAGACACUACCAUGUCUCCCUGCUGAGCUGAGACAGACACUAUUGGACCAGACACUACCACCAGUUCAACAACAGGUCUGGAGAGGAGAACAUGAGAGACAGAGAGCUCUGAGGGGUCACCCACAACAGUUCAUCAACAGGUCUGGAGAGGAGAACAUGAGAGACAGAGAGCUCUGAGAGGUCACCCACAACAGUUCAUCAACAGGUCUGGAGAGGAGAACAUGAGAGACAGAGAGCUCUGAGAGGUCACCCAUAACAGUUCACCAACAGGUCUGGAGAGGAUGGGAGAUCAUGAGAGGCAGAGAGCUCUGAGAGGUCACCCAUAACAGUUCAUCAACAGGUCUGGAGAGGAGAACAUGAGAGACAGAGAGCUCUGAGGGGUCACCCAUAACAGUUCACCAACAGGUCUGGAGAGGGUGGGUAGUUUUACAUUCAAGAAGCUGACGUUUUGGGAAACAUGAGGCGUCUGAAAUGUGGAAGUCGUAAAGUUGUGUUUGUAGGAUGUUGCUGGGUUCCUUAUUCUGGACAGGAAUGAUGUUCAGUUACCAGACACAGCUGGUUGUUGUCAACGACCUCUGACCUCCGUAUACUUCCACUUCUCUAUUCAAUGGAAACAGUCCGUCCAAACGUCCUGAUGGCAUUUGGUGGAACAAUGAACACACUCAGUAUAAUACAUCUUCUGGAACCUCCCAAAGACACCUCUCUGUCCUCCUGUCCAAUACGACACGUACAGGUGACAGACAGACAGACAGACAGACAGACA